CUACCGAUCAGCAGGCAAGGUGUGCUCAAAGCUAAAGGUAUGGAGGCCAAGUACGACGAAAUACAUGGGUUGCUGUCUUUGGGGUCAUACCCCAAAGACUAUGAUCGAAUGCAGCGGCAGAAUCUUAGGAGGUAUGCCUCCAAAUUCACUUUGAGAGAUGGAGAGCUCUUUUUUUAGCACCAGGAAAGCAAUUCGUGGAAAAGAAGAGGCCAG